CCAAGGUGAUCAUUUAAUUGUUUUGCUUCAUUUUUAUGAGUUUACCUACUUUCGUUUAUUUCUAAAAAUGUUUUCCAUGUCUACUGGUGUGAUACCUAAAUCUUUUUUCCUUUCUCCUGAAAUUUUGCUCUUCAUGUACAUGCACUUUUUCUUCACUUGCUUUUCUAAAUCCCUGUGUUAUCAGAUGUUCAAAUUUUGAUGACUAAGAUUGGAAUAUAUGCAGAUAAUUCGUCGGGCAAAUGAGAUUGGGGAAGAUCCAUUAAGUCUAAGUAAUCGUUUCUGCCAAGAAUACCUAACUGACAUGGAUGUUCUUCAGUGUCUCCUUCCUACCCAUCAGCCACGUGUAUCUGAUCAUUUGGAAGAAAUAAAGGAUAUGAUAUCUCUGAUCAUCAACAAGGACUUUGCAUAUGCAGUUGAUGGAGAUGUAUU